AUGGGAGCUUUGGAGAACCCUGAGAAAGAAGAUGAGGACAAAGUCUGCCCUCCAUGCCCUUGGGAAGGUGUCUCAGGAAGUCAGAAAAUUUAUCCUGAUGUGGGAAAAGUCAGAGGACUGUGCUGGACCUCAGAUCCCAGGGACAUUGAAAGAAUGGGAGUUUUGAAGGAAAAGAAAGAAAGGAUGAUUUGGGAGAAGUUACAUGAUUUACUUGUCAAGGGCCACAUCUGGUUACCGCUGGAGAACAGCUCAGGCUUGUUGGAUGAUUCUUGCCCAGGUCACCAAAGCCACACUCUGGUUAGUGAUGGUCUUUCUAAUUAAGAGGACUUCUAUCAGCACUUCAUGCCCAUGCACAGGAAGGAGCCCUCUAUGAGAGGAAGUGAAGCUGAUCUUCUAAGUCUGGUCUCGCAACUCCUAAUAUUCAAGUCUCACCUCUGGCCCUGUCGGGUAUUUCGUUUGAACAGCUGCUGAUUCUCUCCAAACUAGAAAUGCGGAGGGUGUGGAGACAGCUCUAUUAAACUCCCUCUGCCUCACUUCCAGAAGGCUUUCAGCUGACCUCCCGUGGACAGCUGUAGAAUCAUGUAGGUCAUGCAAAGAACAGUUACUUUAAGGAAGCUUUUCCUGUGGGAAGAAACAUCCCUCUUCCCUCCUCCCAAAACAAAAAACAAAAACAAAAAACAACUGCCUUUGUGCUUAACUUUUCUACCUAUCCGUCUAAUCUGUCCUUUCAUCUUAUGUCCUAGGACAAGAACAGACAUCUGACUAUGAGACUCAGGUUGAGCUCCCAUAUUCCUCAAGCAUCCCUUAGGGUAGUCAUAGUAAGAGUUAUAACCAAACUUGGGAAUCCGGGGCAUUUGGCAACAGACUCAAAUCCCUCCCUACUUAAACCUACAUUCCCUCCCCUCCCCACAAACACCACCCCCAACAUCUGCCAUCACACACAAGCAAUCCACACAGAGCUCAGGGACAUCUAGGCAACCUGAGUCUCCAUGCGGGUUCCAGAGAACAGGGGUUACACACACUCACUUAUUCGUUCGCUCAUCCAUCCAAUGGAAAUUUAUCCCAGGCACUGUGCUGGGUGCUGUGAAGUUUCAAAGGUAGAGAUGAUGUGUCUCUGCCCUCAAGGAGCUUUAAACUCUGACAGUGACUUGGGAUCACAUUAUACCUGAACUUCCCAUGAGAAUGUUUUCAAGCACUCAUUACAAGGUGGAAAAACUCAUUGAAAGGGGCCACUGGUUUAAAGGAGGACAGAUAAAAUUGAAGGCUUGGAAAAAUGAGGAUUAUUAGGGAAAGCCAGAGGAAGCACCUUUAUUUAACACAGAAGGAAAGAGCUGAAGUGAUAACUUAAUAAAAGUGUUUAAGAGAACA
rnacentral:lncRNA from 1 species